UACAGAGGGUGCGAGCGUUGUCCGGAAUCACUGGGCGUAAAGGGCGCGUAGGCGGCUUGAUAAGCGUGCGGUGAAAGCCCGGGGCUCAACCCCGGGUCGGCCGUGCGAACUGUCGAGCUGGAGCACUGUAGAGGCAGGUGGAAUUCCGGGUGUAGCGGUGGAAUGCGUAGAGAUCCGGAAGAACACCGGUGGCGAAGGCGGCUUUCUGGUCUGUAACUGACGCUGAGGCGCGAAAGCGUGGGGAGCAAACAGG
rnacentral:rRNA from 1 species